rnacentral:rRNA from 11 species
AAGUCGAAAAAAUGGAUUCGUAACCUCGAGAAAAGGAUUGGCUCUAAGGGCUAGGCACAGGAGUCCUAGUCCAGAACCCGUCAACUUUCGAUGGACUGCUCGAGCUGCUCCCGUAGCGAGAGUGGGUCAUUGCGUGCCGAUCGAGGGACGGACUAGGAACAGCUCCCUCGGGGGCCUUUCUUGGGCGUCAAACAAUCAACUCAAAACUGGUACAGACAAGGGGAAUCCGACUAUUUAACUAAAACAAAGCAUUGUGAUGGUCCCUACGGAUGCUCACGCAGUGUGAUUUUUGCCCAGUGCUCUAAAUGUCAAAGUGAAGAAAUUCAACCAAACGUGGGUAAACGGCGAGAGUAACUAUGACUCUCUUAAGGUAGCCAAAUUCCUCAUCAUCUAAUUAGUGACGUGCAUGAAUGGAUUAAUACUCAAAA